rnacentral:rRNA from 1 species
AACGAACGCUGGCGGUACGCCUAAUACAUGCAAGUCGAACGUGAAAGGGGGCAACCCUGAGUAAAGUGGCGCACGGGUGAAUAACACGUAGGUGACCUGCCCAUUAAUGGGGGAUAACAUAGAGAAAUCUGUGCUAAUACCGCAUAAGCUCAGCGAGAUUAAAAGUUGCUGAGGAAAGUUGGCCUCUAUUUAUAAGCUAACGUUGAUGGAAGGGCCUGCGGCGCAUUAGCUAGUUGGUGAGGUAAUGGCUCACCAAGGCGACGAUGCGUAGCCGGUCUGAGAGGAUGAUCGGCCACACUGGAACUGAGACAAGGUCCAGACUCCUACGGGAGGCAGCAGUAGGGAAUCUUGCGCAAUGGAGGAAACUCUGAACCAGCCAUGCCGCGUGUAGGAUGACGGCCCUCUGGGUUGUAAACUUCUUUUGGAUGGGCGAAAAAACGGGAUUAUCCUGGACUGACGGUACCAAUCAGAAUAAGACACCGGCUAACUCCGUGCCAGCAGCC